GCGGCCGUAACUAUAACGGUCCUAAGGUAGCGAAAUUCCUUGUCGGGUAAGUUCCGACCUGCACGAAUGGCAUAAUGAUGGCGGCGCUGUCUCCAGCAGAGGCUCAGUGAAAUCGAAAUCGCUGUGAAGAUGCAGUGUACCCGCGGCUAGACGGAAAGACCCCGUGAACCUUUACUGCAGCUUGACACUGAACUUUGACCUUACUUGUGUAGGAUAGGUGGGAGGCUUUGAAGCUGGAACGCUAGUUCCAGUGGAGCCGUCCUUGAAAUACCACCCUGGUAAUGUUGAGGUUCUAACUCUGUCCCGUGAUCCGGGACGAGGACCGUGUCUGGUGGGUAGUUUGACUGGGGCGGUCUCCUCCUAAAGAGUAACGGAGGAGUACGAAGGUGCGCUCAGCGUGGUCGGAAAUCACGCGUAGAGUAUAAAGGCAAAAGCGCGCUUAACUGCGAGACCCACAAGUCGAGCAGGUACGAAAGUAGGUCUUAGUGAUCCGGUGGUUCUGUAUGGAAGGGCCAUCGCUCAACGGAUAAAAGGUACUCUGGGGAUAACAGGCUGAUACCGCCCAAGAGUUCAUAUCGACGGCGGUGUUUGGCACCUCGAUGUCGGCUCAUCUCAUCCUGGGGCUGAAGCAGGUCCCAAGGGUAUGGCUGUUCGCCAUUUAAAGAGGUACGCGAGCUGGGUUUAGAACGUCGUGAGACAGUUCGGUCCCUAUCUACCGUGGGCGCUGGAAAUUUGAGAGGAUCUGCUCCUAGUACGAGAGGACCAGAGUGGACGAACCUCUGGUGUACCGGUUGUGACGCCAGUCGCAUCGCCGGGUAGCUAUGUUCGGAAGGGAUAACCGCUGAAAGCAUCUAAGCGGGAAGCCUACCUCAAGAUAAGAUUUCCCUAGGACUUUAUGUCCUCUAAAGAGCCGUUCGAGACUAGGACGUUGAUAGGUUGGAUGUGGAAGCAUAGUGAUAUGUGAAGCUGACCAAUACUAAUUGCUCGUGAGGCUUGACUAU
rnacentral:rRNA from 1 species